GUAAAGUUAUGGAGAAGAUUAUUCUGGGAGGUAUUGAAAUUCACCUGAAAGAGAAUGCAGUCGUUGGCCACAAACAGCACAGCUUCAUUAGAGGACAAUCCUGCUUGUCAAACGUUAUUUUUACAAGCUCAGAAUGUGCACCCUUACUGAGUUAGAAAGUUAAUUCUCUGCUGUCCCUUGGAGAGAAGUUUGAUUGUCAGAUUAGAUGAAGUGAACAUUGAACAAAAUGAAUGGGUCUGCAGUAAGGAAAAUUAGACCAGUGAAUACUGGAUUGAUGCCAAUGUCUCAGAAGUAAAAGUGCUUGGUAAAAAUGGCACAGGAGCAUGGGGAAUGGAGGAUGCCGCCAGGUCAUCCACAAGCUGUCUCUGCUUCUCCUUUCUCUUCUGGGAGAGAACUCCUCACAGUCUGCCCCUGCUCCACUGUGGGGUCCCCACCAUGUGAGAGAGUGAUCUGUGAACUUCUCCAAGGUGAGUCCUUCCCACAGACUGCAGUUCUUCAUAAACUGUUGUGGGGUCACAAGUCCUGCCAGCAAACCUGCUCCAGUCUGAGCUCCUCUUUCUAUUGGGACACAAUUCCUGUCAGGAGCCUGCUCCAAUGCAGGCUUUUGUACAGAGUCACAGCCUCAUUUGGGCAUCCACCCACUCUAGAGUGGGGUUGUCCAUGGGCUGUAGGUGGAUCUCUCCUGCCGUGUGAAUUUCCAUGGGCUGCAGGGCACAGCUGCCUCACCAUGGAGCGCACCAGGAGCUGCAGAGGAAUCUCAGCUAUGGCGCCUGGAGGAACUUCUCUCCCUCCUUAACUGACCUCGGUGUCAGCAAUGUUGUUGCUCACAUAUUCUCACUCCUUUCGUCAUCUGCAAAUGCUGUGGAAAUUGAAAUGCAGCAACUUCGUCCCUUUCUUAUGUCUGUUACCCCAGAGCACUAUCACUGUUGCUGAUGGUCUUGGCCUUGGCAAGCAGCAGGUCCUCGUUCAAAAUGUCCCAGUUAGGUUAUAGUUUUUGGACUUAUUUCAAUGAAAAUUUCUCCUGUCACAAUAAAACUUUUAAGUACUGUCUAGUUAUAUAUAAAAUUUUGAAAUAACAUAAUGAAAUUGUUGCAGCUAGAGAAAUUAAAUACUUGCAAUUAAUUCACCUGUUUCUUUUUCUUUUCAUUUUGAUCUCUAACAGAAAGAAACCUUACUGAAGUCUUAAAAUCAGGAAAGAGACCUGAUUUUCAGUGGGCUCUUCUCUGUGAUUGUUAAAUUGAGAUUUUAAAAUAUUGACAUACUCAUAACUUGAAUACUAGUUUUAAUUUUCCUUGUAAUUUUUUGUUAGUGCCACAUAAAAUACUCUCUCUAGUUCUUAGUUAAGACUAAAAGGAACACUAGUGAGGACAAAGGUUGAAUACAUUGAAAAUGGUACACAAUUUUUAUUAGUAUUUAAAAAUAAGGAACUCAAAAUCACUAGUAAGAAUAAGCUUAUUCUGUAUAUAGAAUACUGAAAUUGACUAAGGUAAGUCUCUAAAUUAUACAUUUAAGUCUGGAAUAUAUUUUUGAGGAAUAAAAAUAGUAAUAUAUUUUUCAGUAUAUAAAAAUAAAAAAGGUUGUAGAAACAGACCAAUUUAAGGAAAUAGACCCAUUGCUUAAUUCAGUUUCUCAUGAAUCAAAAUAAAAUAUAUUCUGCAAGCCACCGGUGCUCUCCUAAGAAAACAGAAACUGAACAAAAUCAUAUUAAAAAAAUAUUUUUCUUCAACAUACUUACUUGUUUGGUGGCUGUUUAUUGUACACAUCUAUUAGUGUUCCAAUUUAUUUCAAUGGCCUAUAAAAAGAAAAAAUAGACAGGCAACAUUUUUCCCUCCCAGACUCCUUCCUGUAUUCCCAGCAGCACCCCAUCAGUCUCCUUGCAGAAAAGCUCUCAUUCAUCAACAUCUUUGGGAACACAGAACCACAGAGGCUUGAGUUUUUAUCUGGCAGCUUCACAGAAUGUGCGGCUAAAGCAGUAUUUUAGAAACUCCCUAGCACUUGGUAUAUACUAAUUUACAGGAAUUUGAAAAAAUUCCCAGCAUAACACAGCUUAUAUAAAUACUUUGACUGAAAACUUUCAAAACCAAUUUCAGUCUGAGAAAGCAGCGUUUCUCUCCUGCCUCUGUAUAUGUUCUUUAAUAGUAUUAUUCUAAACUUUGGCAGAGCAUAAGAUUAUUUUUUAAAGAAGCUGAAGAAAGUAUUUACUGAGUAUUAGAAACCAAAGUGUUUGGGGAGGCUUGAAACAAUUACGCAGUUUGAUAAAAACGGGAUAAACUUUUACUACUACCAGUGUAUAUAUUAAUAAAUAGGAAAUGUAAAGGAAAAAAGUCUUUUAAAACAUUUCACAAGAGCAACAAGAUAUAUUAUGGGGAAGAGGAUGCAUGCUCCUGAUCUUUCUCAGUUAAGAGGAUCAUUUAAGAGGAAGACUUUUUUGUGCUGCAAUGAUCACAGGGUAAUCCUUGAAAAUACCAACACUAGAGUACAUGGCAUUCUGCAUUCCAGUAUUCACUUCUAUCAUGGGAUCUAAAGGAUGCUGUUUGUCUAAGUGCAAACUGAAUCAUGUUCUGAACCUUCUGCCUGGGAAAAACAAAGAGCUGCCAGCCUCUGUUCACCACCUCUCAGAAGUUAUAGGUAUUCCAUGAAACACAUUUUUUCCUCUGACAAAUUUGUGUACAUGUUUCAGCCUAUAGCACUUCAAACAUUGCUGUUUGUCCAGAUAAUAUUUAGUUUCUUGUAUUUUGAGAACAAAAUAGUAAUAAUAAUAAUAAUAAUAAUAAAAACAACAAUAAAAAUAAAAUACAUUCUGCUUAUUCAAGUAAAGGAUUAUUCCUAACACAAUAUGCAGAAUUCAAGGAUGUGAAAAUGCAGCGAUAAAUUUUUCACAACUGAUUUUUUAAUCUGUUGUAACGUUUAUCACAUAUUUGAUUAUCCAAAAGAACAAAAAUAUUCUAUUAUGUAUUCUGGAGAGGAAAAAAAAAAGAUAAUUAAGACAACCUCUCAUGUAAUGCUUACCUGGUAAGUUUCUGAUUGUUCAUCUGUGAAAGGCCAUCACUGUUAAUAAAAAUGUGCCAUGUAGUACAAUGUAGCUAUGGGAAUCUUGAUUUAAUUUCUCAAUACACUAUUAAAUUGGAAUUUAUGACACCUUUAAACUAAAUGAAAGCACAGACAUCUAAUAAUUGUUUAGAGAACACCUGCUAAAUAAAGAUGAAUCUUGAACAUUGUCCAGAUCUUAAGUUACCAAAAGAGUGCAUUAUCACUGAUCUUGAUGGCAGCUGAGAAGAUCACUAAGGAACUUUAUUAAUAUUAGCUGCAGACUCAGACAAAGCUUGGACUUUUAUUCAUUCAAAGCCCUGCGUAGUUCUGACUAGACUUUCAUUUACUCUGAUUUGGCUCUUUGCUCUAAUCUUCAAUGUCAUUCAGAGUUUGUUUUCCACAUUUGUCCUUUUACCCAUUUUCAUUGCUUUAAUUUCCUCUAAUUUCCUGUUUUAAUUUCUUUCAGUCUAUCUUCAACUAGCUUUAGGUACCCUUCACCCUAUUGGAAAUGUGAAUUAAAACACUCUUGCUAGUCAGUUGUGUCUGUUUUUUUUCUUCUGCCUUCCUUUUUUUCAAUUAUUUUAGCUCAGAGCCCUUUUGGAAAGAAAUCCCUUAUAUUUCCCCAAGAAAAAGAGCUAAAAUACUGGGGCUCUGUGCUAUGCUGAUCCUUGGUUAAAAUCCUAAAAGGCAUGAUUCACUUACUAUCCACAAUAAUACUUGUUGUCAGCUUGAAUUAAAUACACCACAGUCUGUGUUUCAUACAUCCUUCCUUUUUAUGUCUGUAGGUUUAAAUUAGUCUCGAAGAUGAGACUGUCACAUAGGUAGAAGAAAUCUGCUAAGUUAUUACAAAUUACUUACCCCAAAACCAACAUUUCUGGUCUUAUAAAUAUGGCCCAGAGCAAGAAUUUUUUAUUCCAUUCUUAGACCUGUCUAUCUGCAUCUGCAAUUGACACCUAUAUUUGAAAGUAUAAUUUCAGUACCAAGAAGAUAACAAAUUACAUUCUCAAUACCUUUCAAUAGUGAAAGUUAACCUAAUAGUUAUCUGCUAAGGAUUAUUCUGGACUUGUGUUUUGUGUCACAGAACAUGGGCAGGUAACUCAGUAGGUUAGAUACAAACUAAAUUUGUUAAGAGUCCAGAGUCCAAUAAUUCACUAAGACUGUGGACAUAAUUCCACUGAAAUGCAGAGGAAUUUCAUUACAGGAAUUCAGUUGAUGUGGUGCUG